rnacentral:piRNA from 2 species
UAAGAAACAGAAGUGUGUCUGCAGAACAGA